rnacentral:rRNA from 1 species
GUGAACGCUGGCGGUAGGCCUACACAUGCAAGUCGAACGGCAGCACAGUAAGAGCUUGCUCUUACGGGUGGCGAGUGGCGGACGGGUGAGGAAUACAUCGGAAUCUACUUUUUCGUGGGGGAUAACGUAGGGAAACUUACGCUAAUACCGCAUACGACCUACGGGUGAAAGCAGGGGAUCUUCGGACCUUGCGCGAUUGAAUGAGCCGAUGUCGGAUUAGCUAGUUGGCGGGGUAAAGGCCCACCAAGGCGACGAUCCGUAGCUGGUCUGAGAGGAUGAUCAGCCACACUGGAACUGAGACACGGUCCAGACUCCUACGGGAGGCAGCAGUGGGGAAUAUUGGACAAUGGGCGCAAGCCUGAUCCAGCCAUACCGCGUGGGUGAAGAAGGCCUUCGGGUUGUAAAGCCCUUUUGUUGGGAAAGAAAAGCAGCAGGUUAAUACCCCGCUGUUCUGACGGUACCCAAAGAAUAAGCACCGGCUAACUUCGUG